rnacentral:rRNA from 1 species
GAUGAACGCUGGCGGCGUGCCUAAUACAUGCAAGUCGAGCGAACAGACGAGGAGCUUGCUCCUCUGACGUUAGCGGCGGACGGGUGAGUAACACGUGGAUAACCUACCUAUAAGACUGGGAUAACUUCGGGAAACCGGAGCUAAUACCGGAUAAUAUAUUGAACCGCAUGGUUCAAUAGUGAAAGACGGUUUUGCUGUCACUUAUAGAUGGAUCCGCGCCGCUUUAGCUAGUUGGUAAGGUAACGGCUUACCAAGGCGACGAUGCGUAGCCGACCUGAGAGGGGGAUCGGCCACACGGGAACGGAGACACGGUCAAGACUCCUAGGGGAGGCGGCAGUAGGGAAUCUUCGGCAAUGGGCGAAAGCCUAACGGAGCAACGCCGCGUGGGUGAUGAAGGUCUUCGGAUCGUAAGACUCUGUUAUUGGGGAAGAACAAAUGGGUAAGGGACUAUGCACGUCUUGACGGUACCUAAUCAGAAAGCCACGGCUAACUACGUG